rnacentral:rRNA from 1 species
AUUGAACGCUGGCGGCAGGCCUAACACAUGCAAGUCGAACGAGUGGCGGACGGGUGAGUAAUGUCUGGGCUACUGCGUGUUGGAGGGGGAUAACUACUGGAAACGGUAGCUAAUACCGCAUACCAUUGGAUGUUCCCACAUGGGAUUAGCUUGUAGGUGGGGUAAAGGCGCACCUAGGCGACGAUCCUGAGCUGGUUUGAGAGGAUGACAAGCAAAAAUGGAAGUGGGACACGGCCCAGACCCCCACGGAGGGCAGCAGUGGGGAAGAUUGCACAAUGGGCGCAAGCCUGAGUCAGCCAGGCAGCGUGUAUGAAGAAGGCCUUCGGGUUGUAAAGUACUUUCAGCGGGGAGGCGUUACCCACAGAAGAAGCACCGGCUAACUUCGUGACAGCAGCCGAGGUAAUUC